UUGUUCCUACAAUAAAGUCCAUGGUUGUGAUGCUCACAGUGUAUGAGACCUAAUAUCCCACCAUGCUGUCCCCUAUUUCUAUUCAAGAGUCAUACCAAAUGCUAAAUUAUACUUUCUUCAAUAAAAAAAAGAAAAAGAUUUAAAUAACACUGUCCCCACGCCCCUCAAUUCUCUUGGUUUUCUGAAAUCAGAAUGAAUCAACACAACCAAUAAGGAACCUGCUAGAAACUUGUAUCCCAGAGUCGAAGUAUCUCAAAAGACUAAUCCAUUUCUGAUUUUGUUUUUGUUUUUGUUUUUUUUUAAAGCUAUGAAGCUGCAGCCCUGUUUACAUUCCAGUGAAGUAGUUUAGUAAUUUAUAGCUAAUUUGUCAAUGGGCAUGCAGCUGUAGGCUGUGCAGUUUGAAAACAAAAAAAGAAUAUACCUCUCCCUUCAUGUUUACAUAGGCUCUGAAAGCCUGGUGUAGCGCAGGAUGCGAGCCCCCAGAGUCAUUAGGAAGGUCCACCAGCCUCUGAGGGUGGAGGGAUGUUUGCAUUAUAACCCAACACAUCAUUAAGGACACAAUUGUUAUUUAAUGUGGCACAAUCAUCUUUCUACCCUUCGUGAAAUGCACUUAACUCUAUUUUGUGCCGAUUUCUCCUUCCUCAAAUCCCCUCUAGAUCCUCCCAGAAGGACCACAGCUUCUGUUGGUGAGGAUGGCAGUACCCGGAGCCAAUGCAGACACCGUUCAUCCAUCUGCAGGCACCGCAGGGGCCAGCGGCCAGACCACCACUUCCCAGUCCCGGAAGCUGUGGCAUCUAUAAAUAACAUUGUAGCACUACAUAAGGUGAGAGAAACCAGUUCUCCACAGAGUGUGCAAUGAAGAAUUUUGAAUAAAAGGGGGUUUAAAUGGUAGUUUGGUUUCAAUAGUAAAAUUAAAAAGAAGAUCAAACCACAAAAGAGAAACAAGCAGAUGUUGCUCUGAUAGCUGGAUUCCUAAGGAAAUCAACUAUAGAUUUCAUAAAGUAUUGAUACUGGGCUACAUAAUCAACAUGAUUUUGCCAGUAUCUAAAAGUCAUUAGGAAAGGCAAGAGUAUCCAGUGUGUGCUGCUGUCUCCCCUGAAAUCUCCACGCAGAUCAUUCUGUAUAACUUAAUUAGCGAAGUUAAAAUUAAGAUGAGACUCCAGUGUGUUUAGGCGAAACAAUUUCUGUGAGAGGACACUUCAUUAAAACAUUUAAUAAUGUGACAACUUCUGCUUAUCAAACAGCUCGCUGAAAGAAAAAAGUAUUUUUUUUGCCAAUUAAUAAAA
rnacentral:lncRNA from 1 species